rnacentral:rRNA from 1 species
GAUGACCAUAGCGACGUGGUACCACUCCUUCCCAUCUCGAACAGGACAGUGAAACGCGUCAGCGCCGAUGAUAGUGCGGAUUCCCGUGUGAAAGUAGGUCAUCGUCA